rnacentral:rRNA from 1 species
CGAACGUUGUUCGGAUUCACUGGGCUUAAAGGGCGCGUGGGCGGGCGGUCAAGUCGGGGGUGAAAUCUUUCCGCUUAACGGGAAGCGUGCCUCCGAUACUGAUCGCCUCGAGGGAGGUAGGGGCAUGUGGAACUUCCGGUGGAGCGGUGAAAUGCGUAGAUAUCGGAAGGAACGCCGGUGGCGAAAGCGACGUGCUGGACCUCUUCUGACGCUGAGGCGCGAAAGCUAGGGGAGCAAACGGG